rnacentral:misc_RNA from 1 species
UUUCCGUAGGUGAACCUGCGGAAGGAUCAUUAUCGAAUUUUGAAUUAAGUUGUACCUAGCCGUUCGGCAUGUGCCCGCUUGAGUGCUUAAUUCACAACCCUUGUUCACCUUGUGGUCGGGUCGAUGACUCUGAUGUUUUAUUAUAAACGUUUCAGUUACAGAAUGUUUAUCGUGAGCAAAGAAUUUAUAUACAACUUUCAGCAACGGAUCUCUUGGCUCUC